rnacentral:rRNA from 1 species
AGUGAACGCUGGCGGUAGGCCUAACACAUGCAAGUCGAACGGCAGCACAGUAAGAGCUUGCUCUUACGGGUGGCGAGUGGCGGACGGGUGAGGAAUACAUCGGAAUCUACUUUUUCGUGGGGGAUAACGUAGGGAAACUUAUGCUAAUACCGCAUACGACCUACGGGUGAAAGCAGGGGAUCUUCGGACCUUGCGCGAUUGAAUGAGCCGAUGUCGGAUUAGCUAGUUGGCGGGGUAAAGGCCCACCAAGGCGACGAUCCGUAGCUGGUCUGAGAGGAUGAUCAGCCACACUGGAACUGAGACACGGUCCAGACUCCUACGGGAGGCAGCAGUGGGGAAUAUUGGGCAAUGGGCGCAAGCCUGAUCCAGCCAUACCGCGUGGGUGAAGAAGGCCUUCGGGUUGUAAAGCCCUUUUGUUGGGAAAGAAAAGCAGCAGGUUAAUACCCCGCUGUUCUGACGGUACCCAAAGAAUAAGCACCGGCUAACUUCGUG